CCUACGGGAGGCAGCAGUAGGGAAUCUUCGACAAUGGGCGCAAGCCUGAUCGAGCAACGCCGCGUGGGUGAAGAAGGCCUUCGGAUUGUAAAACUCUGUUGUUAGGGAAGAAAGAGCGUGCGAGUAACUGUUCACGUGUCGCUGCUAUCUAACCAGAAACCCACGGCUAACUACGUGCCAGCAGCCGUGGUACUACGUAGGUGGCCAGCGUUAUCCGGAUUUAUUGGGCGUAAAGGGAGCGCAGGCGGUCUUUUAAGUCUGUUGUGAAAGCCUGCGGCUUAACCGGAGUAGUGCAUUGGAAACUGGGGGACUUGAGUGCAGAAGAGGAGGGUGGAAUUCCAGGUGUAGCGGUGAAAUGCGUAGAUAUAAGGAAGAACACCAGUGGCGAAGGCGGCACUCUGGCCUGUAACUGACGCUGAGGUUCGAAAGCGUGGGUAGCAAACAGGAUUAGAUACCCUUGUAGUC
rnacentral:rRNA from 1 species